UGCACGUCAUUAGUGCGGGCUCCCACAUGAUGAGAGCAGGGCUUACCUGUCCCUCCCCUCUCCCCACUUGGAGGCAACGCCCCCUUUUCCACACUGACCCAUAGCAACGCAGGCUCCUUUACAGACCCCUCCCACCUUACUCCUCCCCCUCUCCUAUUUAAAAGCCAAGCAGCCCCACAAUGUCAGACAUUGCUGGAUGGCUGCAGCAGCUGUACACACUCUACACUGCUUGUGUCUUCUUCCCAUCUUCCGAUCCCUCUACUGACCUCUUUGGCCACUUUUUGUCAUUACAGGUAUGUCUCUAGCCUCAUAUAUAAAAUCUUGGUUCAGCUUUCUUUUUUGCGAUCCUUUUUUGCGUUCUUUUUCGUUUUUGUUGCCUGCGGCACCGUUGAUAUUAUCCUGUCCUCUUAUUUAUAUUUUGGACAGGUAAAAAUAUAUAUAUAUAUACAAUCAAUAAACUUUUACGCUGUGACACUUCGGGCCAAAGGUCUUGCUACGCUGUGAUUGAUAUUAGAUGCCAGUCCUCACUCCUCUCCUUACCAUCUGAGGCUUGCCAUGCGUCCCGAUUGCGAUGUCCUUUUAAGGGGUGUGCUGAGCCGUUGAAACUUCUCGGGUGAAAAGUUGUCUGUUACACUUUCUGACUCCACACAUACUUCGGUCCCUGAAGAAGGAAACCCGAAACGCGUUGGGCCCAGUAUUUAUAUUGUGGACUCUUCACCUCUUUUCCAAUACACCCUAUUAAUGUGUUGUUUUUAAACCUUUGUACUAUAUACGUUUACUGAACGUUGUUUGAUACCGUCCUGUUAUUAUUAAACUAUUAUAUAUUUUGUAUCUA